rnacentral:lncRNA from 1 species
AAUUUAAAGCUCACUACUAAACUUUGCUACAACAAUUAAGUGAAAGAAAAUAAACACUUUUAUUCAAAAACAUAAUUAAUCAAAGCUUACAAUCAAAGGACUUGAAUAGAAGAAAAAAGUUGAGGUUUUAAAAGAGUCAGCGAGAACGAGAACGAUGUAUGCCCGGCAGGCAGGAGGAGGUGAGGCCCGGAGAGUCAGCGAGAACGACGUAAU